UAUCUCUGUAGAGUCUGCAUAUCAAUAAGCGGAGGAAAAGAAACUAACUAGGAUUCCCUCAGGUAACGGCGAGUGAAGCGAGAAGAGCUCAAAUUUGAAAUCUUCAAGGUUUUACCUUGACGAAUUGUAGUUUAAAGAAGUGUUUUCUGUUGGAGUUUUGGUAAAAGUUCUUUGGAAUAGGACAUCAUAGAGGGUGAGAAUCCCGUAUUUGACCAUUAUUUCCAGCUUUGUGAUACACUUUCAAAGAGUCGGAUUGUUUGGGAAUGCAGUCCAAAAUGGGUGGUAAAUUUCAUCUAAAGCUAAAUACUGGCGAGAGACCGAUAGCGAACAAGUACCGUGAGGGAAAGAUGAAAAGAACUUUGAAAAGAGAGUUAAACAGUACGUGAAAUUGUCAAAAGGGAAGCGUUUGACACCAGUGUUGUUUUCUCGAAAAUCAAUUAAAAAUGGCGGGAUUUUGUGUUGUAUUGACUUUAUCAGCUUUCUGCACUCUUUUCCUGUCUUUUUUAAUGCACUUUUCGUUUAACAAGUCAACAUCAAUUUCUUUUGUUGUAAAAGAGUCAUUGGAAGGUGGCUUUCUUUUCGGAGAAAGUGUUUAUAGCCUUUGGCUUCUGCAAUCGGAGAGAUUGAGGUCUGCAGCGUAGAUCCUUCGGGGUUAGAUACAUUUGUGCUAAGUUAUAGCCUUUCAUAGACAACUUGUUGACUAUGAUCAGUCAUGUAGCUUACUCGCUUAUGCUAUUUUACCUACGCUUAGGAUGUUGAGUCAUCACACAUCUCU
rnacentral:rRNA from 1 species